CACACAUUUGACAAUUCAUCUCGUGUUGCCCUGUGACACUGCUGUUAUUGCUUAAGUGUUGGGUUGCUUUUAGCUUGUCCUUUGUUUGAAAGCUUGUGCCCCUCCAAGUGCCUUGCACAGGGCCUGGUACGCCAUACACGAUGGCUGAUAUAUUAAAGACAUACACAGUGCGGUCCUGUCUUUCUCCGGAAGCCAACGCUCUAAUUGUGGAUGAAGUUGAGGAACAGCUACACUAACAUGGAGCCAAGGCUGCCCUGACCUCUUUUGAGAAUGCUCCUUCUGACUUCCUUUGUUCCCUAAGGACAUGCAGGAGGCAGACCCUCUUCUCCCCAAGUCUCUGCUUUCUAGAAGCCCCUCUGUCUGGGUUUGGCUUUCUAGGAUGCAGGCCACCAGGACUCUCUCUUCCGCUGUCAUCCCUGCAGGGAUCAUGGCCCCUUACCCCGUUAUUCCUGUGUCCGGCAGAGUCUUCGGAUGACUCCUACGUGUCUGCUGGAGAAGAGCCCCUAGAGGCCCCCGUGUUUGAGAUUCCCCUGCAGAAUGUGGUGGUGGCACCAGGGGCAGACGUGCUGCUCAAGUGUAUCGUCACUGCCAACCCCCCGCCCCAAGUGUCCUGGCACAAGGAUGGGUCAGCGCUGCGCAGUGAGGGCCGCCUCCUCAUCCGGGCCGAGGGUGAGCGGCACACCCUGCUGCUCAGGGAGGCCAGGGCAGCGGAUGCCGGGAGCUAUAUGGCCACCGCCACCAACGAGCUGGGCCAGGCCACCUGUGCCGCCUCACUGACCGUGAGACCCGGUGGGUCUACAUCCCCUUUUAGCAGCCCCAUCACCUCCGACGAGGAGUACCUGAGCCCCCCAGAGGAGUUCCCAGAGCCUGGGGAGACCUGGCCCCGAACCCCCACCAUGAAGCCCAGUCCCAGCCAGAACCGCCGUUCUUCUGACACUGGCUCCAAGGCACCCCCCACCUUCAAGGUCUCACUUAUGGACCAGUCAGUAAGAGAAGGCCAAGAUGUCAUCAUGAGCAUCCGCGUGCAGGGGGAGCCCAAGCCUGUGGUCUCCUGGCUGAGAAACCGCCAGCCUGUGCGCCCGGACCAGCGGCGCUUUGCGGAGGAGGCUGAGGGUGGGCUGUGCCGGCUGCGGAUCCUGGCUGCGGAGCGUGGCGAUGCUGGUUUCUACACUUGCAAAGCAGUCAAUGAGUAUGGCGCUCGGCAGUGCGAGGCCCGCUUGGAGGUCCGAGGUGAGUACCUGAUUUCUCCAUGAACACCCACCUGGCCCUGGCCCCUUCCUUCCCCCACUGUCUGCUCUCACACAGCCUCAGUUAGAGGAUACCACCACUGAAAGGGCCUUAACGGGCCCCAGUCCAGCUGCUUAUAUUAUUGUUGAGUGAACCAAAGCCCGGAGACAGGAAGUGACCUGCCCAAAGCUGCACAGCACAUUGUUCCGUGCUCAGCUUACUACACAACCCCACCUUCCCUGUUGCUCCAUCACGGAGCCCUGGCGGCAGCCAGAGACCCUGCACCUGCCACUGGCCAAGCUCUCUCUACACUCUUCUGAGCCUUUGUCACCCUGCUCUGCCCAGGACCCUCCCUCAUCCCCCUCCCCCUCUCCUCUCGCCCCUUUGCCCACCCUCCCAUCCCAUUGCUGUGCAGAAGCUACUGUGAGGUAGCGGUGGGGAGAGUCUGGUGGCUGGACCCGUUCGGAGGGGCCCUUGGGGUGGCUUAGGCUUGGAGCAUCACAGGGACCCUAGGGUGCCAGGGUGAGCACAGCUGUGACGUGUGAAGAGGCCUGGGCCCCCAGAGCCUGGGGCAUACGUGCAGGGGCCCUCUCAGGCAGCAGGAAUGCCAGGCCCUGGCUAGGGGGCCCUCGAGGGCCGUGGGUUUUCCUCACCGAAGUCCACAACCGUUUAUCUUGCCUUCCACCUCACCCUUCGCCUCAAUGGCUCCUCGCUUCCUCUCCUCGCUUCUCACUCAGCCCCCAGCCCCUGACCUUCCCCAAGGCUCAGAGCUCAGACCCUGACAGUCAUGGUCCCUCUGCUGGCCCUCCGCCUCAGUUCCCCUCCUCUGUGCCCGCCGUUCCUGUAGUUGCCACUUCCUUGGUCUCCAGAUUCUUCAGCCCUCCUCCCUGGCCUGCUUUCUCUCCAGGGCCUGGCUCUGCCUCGCUUCUCUGUAUUAACCCAUGUCUCGGUGCUUCUUUCUCUUGGGGAUUCCUUCCGACACCCCCAGGCUUUGGGGUGCUCCUGAUCCCAUGAAUGCCUGGUUGCCCGGGCCUCUGCCUGCCCAGGAACCCCGAGGAACCAGUCUCUGGCUAGCUGCCGGCCCUCGCAGCCCAGAGCUGACCUUGGGGGAGCCGAGAGUGGCAGUGCUGCCCUGGCAGUGUGAGAGGCAGCCCUCUAUGCAGAAGGGCCCUAGCCAGGUCUGCGUGCCUGUGCGUGCAUGUGUGCGUGUGUGUGCGUGCAUGUGUGCGUGUGCAUGAGUGCGUGUGUGUGCAUGUGUGCGUAUGCAUGUGUGUGUGCAUGCGUGUGUGUGCGUGUGCGUGCGUGUGCGUGUGCAUGUGUGUGUGUGUGCGCGCGCGUGCGCGUAUGCUGCACUAACCUGCCGCUUGCUGACUGAGGUUUUUGUCUGUACACAGGCGAGUGAGCUCAGGGGGCCACCUGCGCUCCCCCCGCUACCCUCCGAGCCGCGCCCCUGUCUCAGGCACCUCUCGGACCUCGCUGUGUUUCACUGCCUCCUGCCCACAGACCCAGGCCUGCCGGCCCGGACCCGUCCCAGCCUCCCCUCCCACCCCAUGCAGCCCCCAGGGGGAUAGCCCAUGGGCCCCUGUGGACCCUCCCUCCCCAAGUGGACACAUGGCUGUGCAGGCCAGGAGGCCCACAGAUGGACUGAGUGCUGGGAAGGGGUGGCUGCGAGGGGUAUCAACCCCCCGAGUCUCUCCCUGAAGGGGAGCACCGGGCGAGUGCAUGUGCUACUGCUGCUACAGGCCUGUCUAUCUGUUUGUCUGUCUGUGUGUCUGUGAUAGUCAGGGAAGGAUGCCUCGGAGCUGAGGUGGGGUGAGACAGAGUGGGAGAGAUUACGGCAUGGCAUGGAGGGGCCCAAGGAGCAGGGGCUGUUGACAAGGGCCUUACCAGGAAGGGUUAGGACACUGACCAUUCUAGAAAUGGGUUUCGAAUGGCACAACACUUUCUAUUCCACAAAAGACCAAAAGCCAGAGGCCCCAGGCUCUGUGCUGAUGAGCAGCCUGGCUGAGCCCUGGCCCUGGCAGGUUUAGGGCCCGUUUGGGGCCCCCUCCUUCUCUGUCAGGGCUGGGGUGCUCUGUCUGGGAAUGAGGGAGUUAACCAGGUUUGGUGCAGGAACAGGGGCAGGGGGCCACUGUAGUGAGCGUGGAGAGACUUGGAAACACCUAUUUCUUAACUCAAAUAAAGUCCAGUUUGUACCC
rnacentral:sRNA from 1 species